AAACCCCAAAAAUUUCCCCUAAAAUCAGUAUCCUCAAAACACCCUUUCUCUUUGUUGCUUUUGCUACUUUAAGCUCCUCUUCUUCUCAACUACCCUCAUCAACAUCAGUAACUCUUGAAUUGAACAAUAACGCUAGAAGCAAAGCAAAUGGAGAAACUUAACAAGAUGGGCUGCAGCUUUACUUGAGUUGUCUUAGUUUCAAAGCGUUCCAGAUUCACAGAAUAUGAUUCAAGAUGCUAUUUCGAAGCUAGAGGAGGCUUUGUCGAUUAACCCUAAGAAGCAUGAUGCUUUAUGGUCUUUGGGAAAUGCUCAGACUUCUUUUGCAUUUUUGACUAACAAGGAAGAUGAGGCCAG